GACGAACGCUGGCGGCGUGCCUAAUACAUGCAAGUUGAGCGCUGAAGGUUGGUACUUGUACCGACUGGAUGAGCAGCGAACGGGUGAGUAACGCGUGGGGAAUCUGCCUUUGAGCGGGGGACAACAUUUGGAAACGAAUGCUAAUACCGCAUAAAAACUUUAAACACAAGUUUUAAGUUUGAAAGAUGCAAUUGCAUCACUCAAAGAUGAUCCCGCGUUGUAUUAGCUAGUUGGUGAGGUAAAGGCUCACCAAGGCGAUGAUACAUAGCCGACCUGAGAGGGUGAUCGGCCACAUGGGGGAGGAGACACGGACCAAACCCCUACGGGAGGCAGCAGUAGGGAAUCUUCGGCAAUGGACGAAAGUCUGACCGAGCAACGCCGCGUGAGUGAAGAAGGUUUUCGGAUCGUAAAACUCGGUUGGUAGAGAAGAGCGUUGGUGAGAGUGGAAAGCUCAACAAGUGACGGUAACUACCCAGAAAGGGACGGCUAACUACGUG
rnacentral:rRNA from 1 species